rnacentral:rRNA from 1 species
AUUGAACGCUGGCGGCAGGCUUAACACAUGCAAGUCGAGCGGAGAUGAGGUGCUUGCACCUUAUCUUAGCGGCGGACGGGUGAGUAAUGCUUAGGAAUCUGCCUAUUAGUGGGGGACAACAUUCCGAAAGGAAUGCUAAUACCGCAUACGUCCUACGGGAGAAAGCAGGGGAUCUUCGGACCUUGAGCUAAUAGAUGAGCCUAAGUCGGAUUAGCUAGUUGGUGGGGUAAAGGCCUACCAAGGCGACGAUCUGUAGCGGGUCUGAGAGGAUGAUCCGCCACACUGGGACUGAGACACGGUCCAGACUCCGACGGGGGGCAGCAGUGGGGAAUAUUGGACAAUGGGGGGAACCCUGAUCCAGCCAUGCCGCGUGUGUGAAGAAGGCCUUAUGGUUGUAAAGCACUUUAAGCGAGGAGGAGGCUACUGAGACUAAUACUCUUGGAUAGUGGACGUUACUGGCAGGAUAAGCACCGGCUAACUCUGUGCCAGCCGCCGCAGUAAUAC